rnacentral:rRNA from 1 species
GUGAGUAACACGUGGAUAACCUGCCUCAAGGCUGGGGAUAACAUUUGGAAACAGAUGCUAAUACCGAAUAAAACUUAGUAUCGCAUGAUAUCAAGUUAAAAGGCGCUACGGCGUCACCUAGAGAUGGAUCCGCGGUGCAUUAGUUAGUUGGUGGGGUAAAGGCUUACCAAGACAAUGAUGCAUAGCCGAGUUGAGAGACUGAUCGGCCACAUUGGGACUGAGACACGGCCCAAACUCCUACGGGAGGCUGCAGUAGGGAAUCUUCCACAAUGGGCGCAAGCCUGAUGGAGCAACGCCGCGUGUGUGAUGAAGGCUUUCGGGUCGUAAAGCACUGUUGUAUGGGAAGAAAUGCUAAAAUAGGGAAUGAUUUUAGUUUGACGGUACCAUACCAGAAAGGGACGGCUAAAUACGUGCCAGCAGCCGCGGUAAUACGUAUGUCCCGAGCGUUAUCCGGAUUUAUUGGGCGUAAAGCGAGCGCAGACGGUUGAUUAAGUCUGAUGUGAAAGCCCGGAGCUCAACUCCGGAAUGGCAUUGGAAACUGGUUAACUUGAGUGUUGUAGAGGUAAGUGGAACUCCAUGUGUAGCGGUGGAAUGCGUAGAUAUAUGGAAGAACACCAGUGGCGAAGGCGGCUUACUGGACAACAACUGACGUUGAGGCUCGAAAGUGUGGGUAGCAAACAGGAUUAGAUACCCUGGUAGUCCACACCGUAAACGAUGAAUACUAGGUGUUAGGAGGUUUCCGCCUCUUAGUGCCGAAGCUAACGCAUUAAGUAUUCCGCCUGGGGAGUACGACCGCAAGGUUGAAACUCAAAGGAAUUGACGGGGACCCGCACAAGCGGUGGAGCAUGUGGUUUAAUUCGAAGCAACGCGAAGAACCUUACCAGGUCUUGACAUCCUUUGAAGCUUUUAGAGAUAGAAGUGUUCUCUUCGGAGACAAAGUGACAGGUGGUGCAUGGUCGUCGUCAGCUCGUGUCGUGAGAUGUUGGGUUAAGUCCCGCAACGAGCGCAACCCUUAUUGUUAGUUGCCAGCAUUCAGUUGGGCACUCUAGCGAGACUGCCGGUGACAAACCGGAGGAAGGCGGGGACGACGUCAGAUCAUCAUGCCCCUUAUGACCUGGGCUACACACGUGCUACAAUGGCGUAUACAACGAGUUGCCAACCUGCGAAGGUGAGCUAAUCUCUUAAAGUACGUCUCAGUUCGGACUGCAGUCUGCAACUCGACUGCACGAAGUCGGAAUCGCUAGUAAUCGCGGAUCAGCACGCCGCGGUGAAUACGUUCCCGGGUCUUGUACACACCGCCCGUCACACCAUGGGAGUUUGUAAUGCCCAAAGC